CUGACUGGGCUUGGGUGCCCCAGCACUUUGCAUCCUUUUCUUGUUCUUCUUGUUCUUCUUUAUUUUCUUAAAGGGUCGACAUCCAGAAGAAGACCCUCCCAUAAUAUUCACCGACUCUUUUUGGAGCUGUGAUCUUUCUUAAAGUUUUGCAGAAACUCUAGCAAACUGUGGUAGUUAACUGCAGGCUUUGUCAUUCGAAAAUGAGUAAGAAAAGGGAGAUAGGACUUAGACAGAGAGUUUAGAAUAGCAUCUUUCUCCAACUGCUCAUACAGGAGAAAGUCGAGCUUGCUUAGGCACUCAAUUAUCUCGAUCAUGUACAAUACAUGAUCAGUGACUGAUGCUCUUUCUCUCAUUCAAGUAUUGAAGAUGGCACAACUAGUCUUGUGCCUCUCAAUAUCAUCUGGUGUGCCAAAAGACUCGUUCAAUAUUUACAACAUGUCCUGUGACUGAGCAUUCUCGAAAUGAUGGCUAAACUCAUCAUUCAUCGUCGCCAGCAUA
rnacentral:lncRNA from 1 species